rnacentral:pre_miRNA from 17 species
CUUUGCUUUCAGCUUCUUUACAGUGUUGCCUUGUGGCAUGGAGUUCAAGCAGCAUUGUACAGGGCUAUCAAAGCACAG